rnacentral:rRNA from 1 species
GAUGAACGCUGACAGAAUGUUUAACACAUGCAAGUCAACUUGAACUUCGGUUUGGGUGGCGGACGGGUGAGUAACGCGUAAAGAACUUGCCUCACAGCUAGGGGCAACAUUUGGAAACGAAUGCUAAUACCUGAUAUUAUGAUUUUAGGGCAUCCUAGAAUUAUGAAAGCUAUAUGCGCUGUGAGAGAGCUUUGCGUCCCAUUAGCUAGUUGGAGAGGUAACGGCUCACCAAGGCGAUGAUGGGUAGCCGGCCUGAGAGGGUGAACGGCCACAAGGGGACUGGGACACGGCCCUUACUCCUACGGGAGGCAGCAGUGGGGAAUAUUGGACAAUGGACCAAGAGUCUGAUCCAGCAAUUCUGUGUGCACGAUGAAGUUUUUCGGAAUGUAAAGUGCUUUCAGUUGGGAAGAAAAAAAUGACGGUACCAACAGAAGAAGUGACGGCUAAAUACGUG